rnacentral:rRNA from 1 species
GACGUAGGAUGCAAGCGUUGUCCGGAAUUAUUGGGCGUAAAGAGUUCGUAGGCGGUUGCCUAAGUCUGAUGUUAAAUACUGGAGCUCAACUCCGGCAUGGCAUUGGAAACUGGGCGGCUAGAGUGUGGUAGAGGUCUCGGGAAUUCCAGGUGUAGCGGUGAAAUGCGUAGAUAUCUGGAGGAACACCGGUGGCGAAAGCGCGAGACUGGGCCAUAACUGACGCUCAGGCACGAAAGCGUGGGGAGCAAACAGG